rnacentral:rRNA from 1 species
ACUCCUACGGGAGGCAGCAGUGAGGAAUAUUGGACAAUGGGCGCAAGCCUGAUCCAGCCAUGCCGCGUGCAGGAAGACUGCCCUAUGGGUUGUAAACUGCUUUUGUACGGGAAGAAACACCCCCUCGUGAGGGGCUUGACGGUACCGUAAGAAUAAGGAUCGGCUAACUCCGUGCCAGCAGCCGCGGUAAUACGGAGGAUCCGAGCGUUAUCCGGAAUCAUUGGGUUUAAAGGUCCGUAGGUGGAUUGGUAAGUCAGAGGUGAAAGCCUGCAGCUCAACUGUAGAACUGCCUUUGAUACUGCUAGUCUUGAGUCGUUGUGAAGUGGUUAGAAUAUGUAGUGUAGCGGUGAAAUGCAUAGAUAUUACAUAGAAUACCAAUUGCGAAGGCAGAUCACUAACAACGUACUGACACUGAUGGACGAAAGCGU